AGAGUUUGAUCCUGGCUCAGGAUGAACGCUGACAGAAUGCUUAACACAUGCAAGUCUUUGGCGAAGCUGUGCUUGCACAGCCUAGCCAAGGCGGACGGGUGAGUAACGCGUAAGGAACUUGCCCUGCAGUCAGGGAUAACAGACGGAAACGACUGAUAAGACCUGGUAAAGUCAGGCGGACUCAUGUCCAGCCUGAUGAAAGAGAUGCUGCAGGAGAGCCUUGCGUCCUAUUAGCUUGUUGGUGGGGUAACGGCUCACCAAGGCGAUGAUAGGUAGCCGGCCUGAGAGGGUGGACGGCCACAAGGGGACUGAGAUACGGCCCUUACUCCUACGGGAGGCAGCAGUGGGGAAUAUUGGACAAUGGGGGCAACCCUGAUCCAGCAAUUCUGUGUGCACGAUGAAGGUUUUCGGAUUGUAAAGUGCUUUCAGCAGGGAAGAAAAAUGACGGUACCUGCAGAAGAAGCGACGGCUAAAUACGUG
rnacentral:rRNA from 1 species